UACAAGAGAUCAUUUACCCACAUUAUGACUAACACAUAUUUUUGGAGGCUACAUAAGGAGUCAUUUUAUACUGCUGAUAUGCAUGAAUAGGUGAACAUCUCAGUGAUACAGCUAAUUUUGUAUCUUUUCUUCCAUUUUGUUGCCCUUAGCCAAAACCCCCUCUUAAAAAAAAAAAGUUUUACAUCUUAUUUUUUCUUUACUUUAUUUCAUUGAGGGAUUUUUCUACCAAAUUUAGAUAAAGGACUUUAUAUAAUUCAUAAAUAUUUGUAUUACUGAGAGGGAAAAACAAAACUUGAAUUUUUUAUAUAGGUGUCAAGAACAUAUUGGUCCACAAGAUGGCACAAAGAGUAGUUUUGCUAAAUAAAUAAAGUGUCCAAAAUUAUAAAUAUGGGACUUAUGGAUAACUUAAUUUGUCAGAAAUUUGGAUUAUCUAUUUCAGAUAAGUGUUUUUCUCUCUCUCUCUCUCUCUCUCUCUCUCUCUCUCUCUCUCUCUCUCUCUCUCUCUCUCUCUCUCUCUCUCUCUCUCUCUCUCUCUCUCUCUCUCUCUCUCUCUCUCUUACUUUUGAGUUUUAUGAAUAUUUUGGUCAUUGUAAUGAAUAAAAUAACUAACUUUCAUGCUUUAAUAUGUGCAUAUAUAACUUUAUUUUAGUGGGUUGAUAUAUUCAUGGGAGUUGAAAAAUGUUAAGCAAAUUCUGGAUUUCAUUAAAGCAAGUGAUAUACAGUAAAUCCUUGUUAUAUUGGACUAAUUGGGGGAAGCCACAGAUGAUAAAAGUAAAGAUUCAAUAAAAGUGGCAACAUGAAUAAUUCCAAUCCAUAAAGUAAACUAGCGGUAAUAAAUAUAAAAAAAGUUGAUAUGAUUAUUGUUACUGUAUGUAAAGCGUAUGUACCUCACGUCAUUAUUCCUUGGCAUUUAUAAGUGAAAUGUUCAAUAGUUUUCUAUUUGCAUGAAAACGUGUAAUAUGUGUAAGUAUCAGUAUUCAAUGCUAUAUUAAGCACCGAAGCCGAUGCUCACUUGUUGGUAGUGUGGGGUUAACCUGCUGGUCGCCUGCGGGCAUCACUCACGGCCAAGUUGCGCUCAGACAAAGACGGGCAGGAUGGUGACCGAGUUCUUACGGUCAUGCCUACCUCAUCAAUAAACGUGUCAGGGAGAACUGCUUUUCCUCGACCCUACGAUGAUGGGUGUGAUCAGUAAAACAGAUCACCUGAGAGCCAAUUGAUGCCCAGCCGAUCCCUUCCUCGCCCCAUUCUUGGCCUUGUCUGACCCAUGACUCACCACUUAGGAAUUUCCAUUCCUACCCUGACUAUCCAUAGGUAUGAAAAUGCUGUAUGAUAACCAGAUUUCAUAAAAAAAAAGUAUGGCAUAUGGUAGACAAUGUAUGGCAGAUAGCAGAAAAAUACCAAAUUAUAACAGAAAUGCCAUAAUUAUGGCAGACAGUGCAACCCUAGUGGAUGCAGUGUGUGACCACCACCACCACCACCACCACCCACACUCUCCCUCCAUCCUUCCCUCCCACCCUCACUCACUCCCAUGCCACUGCCACUGCUGGCUGGAUGUUCUGCCUCAUUUACCGACAUUUGUCUGAUAAAUCAGAUGGAUGGUCCGUAGGCCAUACAUUUGCGAUAAAUGCGAAAUCUGAUAUAACAGGGUCCAAUAAAAUGAAGGUUUACUGUAGAUGUUUUUAGGUACAGUGAAACCUCAGUUACUGAAUGCCUCCCUUUUCGAACAAUUUGGUUUUUGAACAAAAUUUUGAAUUUGUUAUUGCUUGUGAUCAUGCUGAGAAGCCUCGAUGUAAACAAACAGUUUUCGGUGCUCAGAAGUAAUCCCAAGCCACCUGUGGCUCUCUUGAUGAUCCCCAACACCAUCACUACUACACAACUGCAUUUUUCCAGUAGCUUUUCUUAGCAGCAAGAUGUCUAAGUGUUAUGAUCACCUUUAUUUUGGCAGUAAGUGGGUUGCUCCUCUCUGUACCCCUCUGUAAGGUUUCCCACAUUAGAUUGAUCUAAACAGUAUCUUCUGAUGAGUUUUGUGUCACUAAAUUCAUUCAUUACAUCCUUUCUGGAUUUGUGAGCUGGAGGUGUCGUGAAGCAGACAUCUUGGUUAUGGGAGCAUCUGUCAUAAGCCACUAAGACAGUGUAGACUGGUAUCUGGGAACAGAUUAAUCCAUUUUACAUUGAUUCUUAUGGGGAAAAUAGUUUAGUUUUUCAAACAUUUUUUAUUUUGAACAGCAUUCAGGAAUUAAUUAAGUUUGAGAACCGAGGUUCCACCGUAUCUACUUUAAUAUUUUUACUUGUUUAUUUUUUUAACAAGAUUUUUUAUCAUGUUUUACAAUUGUCACAUUAAAAGG